GAGCGGACAGAUGGGAGCUUGCUCCCUGAUGUUAGCGGCGGACGGGUGAGUAACACGUGGGUAACCUGCCUGUAAGACUGGGAUAACUCCGGGAAACCGGGGCUAAUACCGGAUGGUUGUUUGAACCGCAUGGUUCAAACAUAAAAGGUGGCUUCGGCUACCACUUACAGAUGGACCCGCGGCGCAUUAGCUAGUUGGUGAGGUAACGGCUCACCAAGGCAACGAUGCGUAGCCGACCUGAGAGGGUGAUCGGCCACACUGGGACUGAGACACGGCCCAGACUCCUACGGGAGGCAGCAGUAGGGAAUCUUCCGCAAUGGACGAAAGUCUGACGGAGCAACGCCGCGUGAGUGAUGAAGGUUUUCGGAUCGUAAAGCUCUGUUGUUAGGGAAGAACAAGUACCGUUCGAAUAGGGCGGUACCUUGACGGUACCUAACCAGAAAGCCACGGCUAACUACGUGCCAGCAGCCGCGGUAAUACGUAGGUGGCAAGCGUUGUCCGGAAUUAUUGGGCGUAAAGGGCUCGCAGGCGGUUUCUUAAGUCUGAUGUGAAAGCCCCCGGCUCAACCGGGGAGGGUCAUUGGAAACUGGGGAACUUGAGUGCAGAAGAGGAGAGUGGAAUUCCACGUGUAGCGGUGAAAUGCGUAGAGAUGUGGAGGAACACCAGUGGCGAAGGCGACUCUCUGGUCUGUAACUGACGCUGAGGAGCGAAAGCGUGGGGAGCGAACAGGAUUAGAUACCCUGGUAGUCCACGCCGUAAACGAUGAGUG
rnacentral:rRNA from 1 species